rnacentral:lncRNA from 10 species
UUUUAGCAACAGGAGCCAAACUUGGAUUCACCCUGAUAAAGCAGACAUUUGGGACUUCAUGUGAUCUAAUUGCUCUGAGCUGUUCCUUAAUCCCCAAUCGCUAAACCUUUGCAUCGUUGCCCACAAUGGCAUAAACUACCUUGAUCCAGGAUUGCAAAAUGGUCCACCCAACAAAGAAGCCUCAUAAUUGUUGAUGUGGCUGAGAUUCUCUAAUGCACCCUCCCUUGUUUUUAUUUGUUGUUCUAAGAAUUAUUUAAGUAAAAGAACAAAGCAAAUCUUAAACUUGUCUCUGUGAUAAGGUGAACCUCGGAAGGCGAAGUCCAUUUCUUCAUUCAUCUCUGCAUUCACAGCAACAGCCAUCGCUGUGAGAAGAGCACAUCCUAGCAGAACCCGUGAUGGAGAGGAGGUUGCCCUGCAGUGAAACAGAGCUGCCCCAGCUGCCCAGCCUGCUGUGGAGCCUGCAGCCCAGCCCAGCCCAGGUCAUGUAUCUAGUUGGACUGGCUCUUCCACUGUGGAGUGUCCCAUUUGAACCAGUUACUGAUGUAUGGCCUCCAAGCUCCAGAUCAACCCUUCCUGGCCCUGCUGGUGACAUCAGAGAUGGACUCUGUAAAUGUUCCUCCCUUGCCACCUGCCACGAUGUUACGUUUUGUCAGUAGCCAGCCACUGAGGGACAUUGCAAGUGGCAGAGGCUUUCUUCCUGGUCCCAGUGUUUUUCCUCUUGCUCCUGCAAUACUGCAGCUGGUGGGGCCAGUGGGAGACCCAGAGAUGUGAACCCUCCUGGAAGGUUCACUGUCACCCCAACAGGAGGCUUCCUGGAAAGUUUCCCCAGCACCCAGCAGGUGGUUUUCUGCUUGCCAGCCAUGGUCUGCAGCACCUCAGCAAACUCUUAUCCCAUCCAGUGGCCACAUCUUUCAUCAACGAUGUGCAUCUCAGCCUUGGAGGGGAGGCUUCGUCCAAGCUUGUCUUCCUUGAAUAUUUUGCCUCGGCCCUAGAGGUAGUGUUUUUUCUCUACAUCUGCUAUUCCUAUAAUCUGUCUUGUUUUGUUUUCUAAUUGAAGUCCCUUACUGGUCCUGCUUCUACGAGUGGCGGUGACCAGGUGAAAAGGGAGAGGAAUCAGCCGGCCCAGGGAGGGUCACCUCUACCACAUUCCACUCACACACAGAAUGGAACACACAAGCACAGAGUCAACAGUUAUUGUGAUUAGAAGUUGGUAGCAUGGGG